GCCGCCACCUGGAGGGUCAUAUACAGCAAUUUUGAAACCUUAGCGGUGCACAUAUUCUCGCCAGAACACUCCCAUUUUUCUCCUGUUAGGAGGGUCCUCCUUUCCAUCUGUGGAGCAUUCAACAAUUGCCGGCAAAGCUUUGUUCCCUCUAUUUAUACCAUGACUUAAAAUGGGUGCUCUUUUCCACCUGCAUGCAUGCUUCUGCAACAAUAAUCCUAACAGAGAUGCCAUUUUUAUAGUUGAAUGAAACAAAACAGAAUAAAUAAAAUAUCUCUCAGCCUUUGGGCCAAUUGAUAGGAUAAUAAACUCUAGCAAGGCGAAACUAAAAUUCAUCAAAAUUGUUUCAAAUUAUAAAGCCAAUUUAAUCUCUACAAAGAAUAUAUCCUAAACAAUCUAAAGAAUUCAUUUGCUAUGUUACAAUGCUUUCACAAUUUUACC
rnacentral:lncRNA from 1 species